CAGCUCACGGCAACACCAGAUCGUUAACCCACUGAGCAAGGGCAGGGAUCGAACCUGAAACGUCAUGGUUCCUAGUCGGAUUCUUUAACCACUGCGCCACGACGGGAACUCCCGUUUGUUUUUUUUUUAAUGGCCACACCCAUGGUGUAUGGAAAUUCCCUGGCGAGGGGUGGAAUCAGAAGCUGCAGCUGCUGGCCUAUGCCACAGCCGUGGGAACACUGGAUCUGAGCUGCAUCCACAAGUUAUGCCUCAGCUUGUGACAAUGCUGGAUUCUCAACCCCCUGAGUGAGGCCAGGGAUCAAAUCCGAAUCCUCAAUGAGACAACAUUGGGUCCUUAACCCACUGAUCCACAAAGGGAAUUCCUACACUGUUUCUAUUAUUGCACAAUUCGAUGAAUAAAAUCUGACUUGUCAUGCUAUGUGGUGGUCUAUUUACAUUAACUUUCCCCCUCACUUGCCUGAACUCUUUAGAGAUGUUGAAAAGGAUUCUUGGGUAAAUGUCUGUAUUAUUUUUAUAUCCUUAACUGAGAAUAUAUUAGGCAUAUAUUAAACAUUCCAGGGACUUCCUGCUGUGGCUCAGCAGAAAGGAAUCCAACUCGUAUCCAUGAGGAUGGAGGUUUGAUCCCUGGCCACGCUCAGUGGGUUUCAGCAUUGCAGUAAGCUGCAGUGUAGGUCACAGACUUGACUUGAAUCCGGUGUUGCUGUGGCCCUAAAGGAGGCCGACAGCUACAGUGCUGAUUCCACUCCUAGCUUGGACCUUCCAUAUACCGUGCUGCGGCCCUUAAAAAUAAAAAUAAAAAUAAAAAAAUCCAAUUAAGUAUCUAAGUGAAUAAAUAAACUGGCUUUUAAACAUCUAUUAUCAAAGAAAAGAAAGUCACGGACUUGGAAAAUAGCUUGUGGUUGCCAAAGGGAAGGGGGAGGGAGCAGGAUGGACUGGGAAUUUGAGGUUAAUAGAUGCAGACUAUUGCCUUUGGAAGGGAUAAGCAAUGAGAUCCUGCUGUGUAGCACUGGGAACGCUAUCUAGUCACUUUUGAUGGAGCAUGAUCAUGUGAGAAAAAAGAAAUCUAUACAUGAAUGUGUAACUGGGUCAACAUGCUAUACAGCAGAAAUUGACAAAACACUGUAAACCAGCUAUAAUAAAAAAAUUAAAAUUAUUAUAUAUAUUAAAAAAAAUCUACUACCUACAGCACUGCUAUGCUAGUGAGUUACCACUUUUAGCCCUAUUUUACAGAUGGAAAACUGGACUUCAGGGAAGUUAAGUAACUUUCCCAGCUAGUGGUAAAAGGCAAAGCUGAUUCAGGUGCAGGUCUUUUAGACUCCCAGUGUUUUUCUAAAUAAACAAAAGAUUGAGUGAUUAUAUACAGACAUAUGCCUGGAUAUGUUUUCAUAUUUUCCUUAUAUGUAGUUCCCAUUAUAUGAAAUAAAAUAAAGAUUUAGGUUACGAUUGAGCUACCAUUUAUGAAACUAAAUAUUUGCUAUGUGAAGCCAAAUAUUUCUGAGCCUCAAUUUCUUCAUCUGUAAAAAGGCUUUGUUAUAUAUUACUCAUCAUAACAAUAUUAUUAUUAUUAGGUAUUGGUAUAAUAGUUUCUAGCCAUAAUACUCUAUGAUUGUGAAUUGGGUUCUUUGUGUUUGAUUAUACUGUUUCAGUAACUUAGUUCUGGGCACACUCAUGACGGUCUUUAAAAUUUAUUUGACUAUUUGCUACUGCAAUUAUGUCAAUUCUCAUUAAAAAUGUUUUGACUGAAUAAGGGCAUGAAGAUGACAACAAGGUCUCUCUCCUUAAUUUAAUCCUAGUUUAAAGUUUGCCAAUCAAAACUCAAAGAAGACAGUUGGAAACUGAUUUUUUAUCUUUAUAACUAGUCACACAUUUUCUAUUUUUGAAUUUAUCCUUGGUUGGUGGAGCUAAACCAUCACGACAGUUAUUAUCACUGUCAUAGUUGUUUUACUUCAGAUCUUCAAAUUAAUAAAUGCUGAGUUUAAUUAGCUGAAACUUAAAUUGUCAUUAUUAAUUUACUAGUUACAUUGCAAUACCUUGUAAAACAUUUAUGCUGCAGUAAAUGGAGCACCCAUUUUCCAAUGAUCAUGUGGCAUGGCUAAUUUACUACACAGCUAUUUAAUUUCUAACCUUAGCAGAGCUAUAGGUACUCGGCUAAAAUUAAAUUAAUUAUUUGCAACAAAAUGUUUAAUAAUGUCAUUGCUUCAAAUACUAUACAGUCUUAUCCAAGAAACAAUGGAAGUUCAGACAUUUGUAAGUAUUUCUGAAACAUUCUUAGAAUAGCCUUAACAAGUAAGUGCAACUACUGUAAAUUAUCAGUUGACUUUUUAGGACAGUCAAAUGGGGACAAUCUGAAAGUUUUUACAUUUAGACUAUUCAGGUGGGUACAGAGUUUCUGUUUGGAAUGAUAAAAACUUCCGGAAACGGAAAGUAGGAUGGUUGCACAACACCGUAAAUGUACCUAAUGGCACAAACUGUAAAACAUGAAAGUGGUUAAAAUGGUAAAUUUUAUGUUUAUUUUAUCACCAACAGACAAAUAGAUUAUCAAAAACAGACUUUGUUCAAGUUUGAUCAUUGCCUUCCUCACCCACCACACCAAGGACUCCUUGAGUGUUGAAUAGGCCAUGUACACUACGACACCCCAGGUUCCUGGCAUAUUGUAAGGCACAUCUCAAAUAAAUUUAUGGGUUGUUGAGAUUCUUUCUGCCACGUACUCAAAGUAAAUGUUCAGUUUCUUUGAAGAAAAUAGUUCUGUUUCAGAAAGACAUGCUAUUGCUCAAUCAGUGAUGAAAUAGGUAUGAUAUGGAAUAAGAGGCCACACACAUUCUAGAACAUAAAUGUUAAUUAGAAAAGUAAGCUGUCUCUGGUAUUUAAGUGUUCUCACUAUUCGUUGAACAUUCCCUAACAGCACAGAAACACAUGGAAGUAGCUCUAUCACUGACUACCAAAUAGUGAUGACGGUUACUGAUUCCUUUCCAAAAGCAGAGCUGGUGCUUUGGGAAGAGAGAAGUUCAUUAUACUGAUUAGAGGCCCUUGCCCUACCUCCUCAGAGGAUGUUCUCUUGGGUAGAUAUCAAGGCAGACACUCCUGGGCAGAAGCUUUUCAAAUUAAUGACUCAACAACCAAAUGGCAGUGAUCCUAGCAUCUCUGGUGAGAUCAACUGCUUACAUCAAGGCUGCAGAUAAUGAGUCACCUUCCAAAAGCAGGGCUGGAUAAAGUUCAGGAUUGCUGUCGUGGGGCAGAGGUUUGCUUGCCCAUUCAGGCUGAUAUUGUGGAGCACAUGUUAAGGAAGCCAUUCAAAGUGGUUGUACGGCAAGUCAAAAAUCAGAUUCAGAACAUGGGGUGGAAGAAUGGGCUAUUCACUUCAGAGGUUCCACACAACUGCACGCACCCCAAAAUCUCUAUUUUAAAUGACUUGUCUCAGAGUUCCUGCUAUGGCCUGAGGGGAUCAGCAGCAUCUUGGGAGCACUGGGUUGCAGGUUCGAUCCCCAGCCAAGCACAGUGGGUUAAUGAUCCAGUGUUGCUACAGCUACAGCUUUGGUCAUGACUGUGGCUUGGGUCUGAUCCCUAGUCUGGGAAACUCCUUAUGCCACAGGCAGGCCAAAAAUGAAAAAAAGAGAGAAAAAAAGGACUUGUUUCAUUUUAUGUAUCUAAAAGCAGAUAGAUAAUGCCUGUUACCUCACAAAUAUUUCCUCACUCAAUUCUAUGACAGAGGUCCAAUUAUUCUCACUUUGUAGUUAAGGAAACUGGAGCACAAAAAGCUUAAGUAACUUGCUCAAAGUCUCACAACUAGUAGUAAUGCUGGGACUUGAACCCAGGAAGUCUGGAUCCAGAAAUGGUGUUCUUAACUACUCCACUCUCCGUCUCAAUAUAUCUUAAGGGAACUAUUAAAAAAAAUAAGAAGAAGAGGCGAUCCUAUUGUGGCACAGCAGAAAUGAACCCGCCUAGUACCCAUGAGGAUGCAGUUGCGAUCCCUUGCCUCGCUCAGUGGGUCAAGAAUCCAGAGUUGCCAUGAGCUGUUGCGUAGGUUGCAGAUGUGGCUCAGAUCCCACAUUGCUGUGGCUGUGGUGUAGGCCGACAGCUGUGGCUCCAAUUCAACCCCUAGCCUGGGAACUUGCACAUGCUGCAGGCACAGCCCUAAAAAGGAAAAUGAAAAAAAAAAAAAGACUUUUCUUAGGACUUUUUUUUUCCCCUAGAAGGACACUAUCCAUGUCCACAUGUGCUAUGUAAGAGCAUAAUCAGAUCAGGUGUGCUUUAUUCUAAUCUUGGAGAGGGGGGCUCUAUGAAUGAGAAACAUGCCAGGUGGUUUACAAUCAGGCAUGAUCCCACAGCUCUAGAAUGCUAAGAUUCAGCAAAAAAAAAAAAAAAAAAAAGCACAGAGGGUUUGGCAAGACAUAAGAAAGAAAUGUGUUAUUUAUACUGCUAAAGCACCCCUAAGAUUUUGUUUUAAUUCUAUCUUUCAUUUUUUUCCCCUAAUCUAUACCAGAACUUGCCUAGCAUGGGAAACAUAAAUCCUUCAUAAAUACAAGCACAGUAUUCUUAGUAAUAGUGUGCAAGUAAGUCUUUGUUCAAUACCCAAGGGCAAAUAGGUAUUGUUGAAUUGUUAAUUGCCUUAAAAGUCCACAGGUAACUUAUUUACUUGAAUUGUAUUUUCCUGGGGCCAGCCUGGGGUCAACCUGGAAACAAUGAAAAAAAAAAAAAUUGACUUUGAAACUGUUCAGGACAACCAGAUAGGUGAAUUGUAGGAAACCAGGUGGGUAAAAGCAUAAAUUAAUCUGAAAUUAUUUAAAUGUGUUUUCUAAAAGGCAUAGUGUAGUUCCUAACUGCCAACAGGCACCAUUUCAUUAUGCUACAUUACAUCCUGUUUUUCUCAAAAUAUUGGAGAAAUGACAGAUACUAAAAGAAAUUCUUACUUGUGUAUCACAUACGCCAUUUCCAUAAAGCUCUUGCAAAUUCUGGAGAUAUGCAAGGGGAAAAAACAACUUUAAUAAAAUAAUGGAUCAUAUUUGAAUUAAACAUGAUAUUCAAAAUGUUACACUUGGGGAGUUAACAGAAUGUUAUAUGCUGAGAGAGCAAGAGGCAAAAAUGUCCUAUUAUAACCCGUACCCUCCAUAAAUUAAAUCCGAAAACAUUAAAAAUGGUGAUAACAAUGAAAAGGAUUACUUAUGGAAUGAAAAUGGAAAACAGAAACAGAUUAGUGAAGAUAUUUUUCUCUAAAAAUCCCCAAACUGUGCAUCCUAGAGCAGAGGUAAUAAAGAUGGUUAUUUCUAAGAAAUAGAUCCAAAGUGGCUCCAUUCAAUUCACAGCAGGAACAUCUAAAGUAGCAAUUAAUGCAACCACUGGUGUGGAAUUGUUUUCCAAAUGCCAUCCUAUUGGAUGGCUUUUUUUUAUUUUUAUUUUUUUUAAAUGGAAGCAGGGCUCAGAAGUCAAGAUGAAUUUGGGUCAUUUAUUUACUGAACAUAGGUUUUUAAUACCACUGUCCAAUAUUAAUGGAUACAAUAAUAAUACUUGAGGUGAAAUGGAAGGAACCUAUUAAUGACUGUUUACCUCAGGCUACAAGGGUAAUGCUUGAAACUCCUUGAGAUUUGAUCCUGGGAAAUAAAUGUAGGGGCAUUCAUCUCAGUGGGGUGUGGGGACACUAGAAGAAGGGAUGAGUUGGUAUUUGGAAGAUCCAAGUUGAAAUCUCAGACUUUUGGCUGCCAAUAACUGACAUCGAGCAACAAACUUUCCACACCUCCUGUUUCCUGGGAACUCAGUUUGCUUAUUGGAAAGAUAAGGGAAAUAAUGCAGCACCAUGGUUAGGAAUGUGGGCUCAGAUGCAGGGUGCCUGGGUUCAAAUCCCAGUUCCAGAACAUUCUAAUUGUGUCUCUAGGCACAUGAGUUGAGCUUUCUGUGUGUUAUCUGUAAAAAUGUGGAUAAAACAGUACUUAGCACAUAGGAUCAUUGUGAAGGGUUAGCUGAGUUAGAACAUGUACCAUCUUAGAAUAAUGACUUGUCCAUGGUAAGGACUCC
rnacentral:lncRNA from 1 species